GAGUUUGAUCCUGGCUCAGAUUGAACGCUGGCGGCAGGCCUAACACAUGCAAGUCGAGCGGUAGAGAGAAGCUUGCUUCUCUUGAGAGCGGCGGACGGGUGAGUAAUGCCUAGGAAUCUGCCUGGUAGUGGGGGAUAACGCUCGGAAACGGACGCUAAUACCGCAUACGUCCUACGGGAGAAAGCAGGGGACCUUCGGGCCUUGCGCUAUCAGAUGAGCCUAGGUCGGAUUAGCUAGUUGGUGAGGUAAUGGCUCACCAAGGCGACGAUCCGUAACUGGUCUGAGAGGAUGAUCAGUCACACUGGAACUGAGACACGGUCCAGACUCCUACGGGAGGCAGCAGUGGGGAAUAUUGGACAAUGGGCGAAAGCCUGAUCCAGCCAUGCCGCGUGUGUGAAGAAGGUCUUCGGAUUGUAAAGCACUUUAAGUUGGGAGGAAGGGCAGUAAAUUAAUACUUUAGCUGUUUUGACGUUACGACAGAAUAAGCACCGGCUAACUCUGUGCCAGCA
rnacentral:rRNA from 1 species